ACAGGGAUUGCCUCAGUAACGGCGAGUGAAGCGGCAACAGCUCAAAUUUGAAAUCUGGCGGCCUCUGGGCCGUCCGAGUUGUAAUUUGAAGAGGAUGCUUUUGGCGAGGCGCCUUCCGAGUGCCCUGGAACGGGACGCCACAGAGGGUGAGAGCCCCGUAUGGUUGGACGCCGAGCCUCUGUAAAGCUCCUUCGACGAGUCGAGUAGUUUGGGAAUGCUGCUCAAAAUGGGAGGUAAACCCCUUCUAAAGCUAAAUACUGGCCAGAGACCGAUAGCGCACAAGUAGAGUGAUCGAAAGAUGAAAAGCACUUUGAAAAGAGAGUUAAAUAGCACGUGAAAUUGUUGAAAGGGAAGCGCUUGCGACCAGACUUGUGCCCGUCGAAUCAGCCGCCGCUCGCCGGCGGCGCACUUCGGCGGGCUCAGGCCAGCAUCAGUUCGCUGCAGGGGGAGAAAGGCGGCGGGAAUGUGGCUCUUCGGAGUGUUAUAGCCCGCCGCGCAAUACCCCUCGGCGGACUGAGGACCGCGCAUCUGCAAGGAUGCUGGCGUAAUGGUCGUCAGCGACCCGUCUUGAAACACGGACCAAGGAGUCGUCCUAAUAUGCGAGUGUUCGGGUGUAAAACCCCUGCGCGUAAUGAAAGUGAACGGAGGUGAGAGCUUCGGCGCAUCAUCGACCGAUCCUGAUGUUCUCGGAUGGAUUUGAGUAAGAGCAUAUUGGGCCGGACCCGAAAGAAGGUGAACUAUGCCUGUAUAGGGUAAAGCCAGAGGAAACUCUGGUGGAGGCUCGCAGCGGUUCUGACGUGCAAAUCGAUCGUCAAAUAUGGGCAUGGGGGCGAAAGACUAAUCG
rnacentral:rRNA from 1 species